ensembl:snRNA U1 U1 spliceosomal RNA
ACACUUACUUGACAGGAGAGAUAUCAUAAUCACAAAGGCGGCUUUCCCAGGGCAAGGCUUAAUUAUUGCAUUCUGAAUAUUCUAACUAUUGCAAUUUCCCCAAUUGUGGGAAACAACUGCGUAAUUUGUGGUGGUGGGAGACUGCAUAUGUGCUUCAUCCUG